AGAAGUGUGCCCGAGUCAAGGACUAUUUUGAUGAAAUAGCUACAGAGCAUCACAACUCUCACUUCCA
rnacentral:tRNA from 2 species